UACAGAGGUGGCAAGCGUUGUUCGGAAUUACUGGGCGUAAAGGGCGCGUAGGCGGCCAUCUAAGUCAGACGUGAAAUCCCCCGGCUUAACCUGGGAACUGCGUCUGAUACUGGACGGCUUGAGUAUGGGAGAGGGAUGUAGAAUUCCAGGUGUAGCGGUGAAAUGCGUAGAUAUCUGGAGGAACACCGGUGGCGAAGGCGGGUCUCUGGGCCGAUACUGACGCUGAGGAGCGAAAGCGUGGGGAGCGAACAGG
rnacentral:rRNA from 1 species